GGCUCCGUGGUGAAAUCACGUUAGAUUGCAAAUCUAAAGAUGCAGGCUAAAUACCCGCCGGGGCUU
rnacentral:tRNA from 1 species